CCCGUAGCUCAGCUGGAUAGAGCGCUGCCCUCCGAAGGCAGAGGUCACAAGUUCGAAUCUUGUCGGGUGCGCCA
rnacentral:tRNA from 1 species